rnacentral:rRNA from 1 species
GACGAACGCUGGCGGCGUGCUUAACGCAUGCAAGUCGAACGGUGAAGCGCCUUCCUUUUUGGUGGGUGUGGAUGAGUGGCGAACGGGUGAGUAACACGUGAGUAACCUGCCCCCUUCUUCUGGAUAACCGCAUGAAAGUGUGGCUAAUACGGGAUAUUCUGGGUCUGUCGCAUGAUGGGUCUGGGAAAGAUAUUGUUUCGGUGGGGGAUGGGCUCGCGGCCUAUCAGCUUGUUGGUGGGGUGAUGGCCUACCAAGGCGGUGACGGGUAGCCGGCCUGAGAGGGUGGACGGUCACAAUGGGACUGGGACACGGCCCCGACUCCUACGGGAGGCAGCAGUGGGGAAUAUUGCACAAUGGGCGCAAGCCUGAUGCAGCGACGCCGCGUGAGGGAUGGAGGCCUUCGGGUUGUGAACCUCUUUCGCCAGUGAAGCAGGCCUGCCUCGUUUGUGGGUGGGUUGACGGUAGCUGGAUAAGAAGCGCCGGCUAACUACGUG